GGCUAAAUAGUUGUUCUAGUCCAGCCCUCCUCACUAGUAAGUAAUCUAUAGUAGCUAGUUUAGCUAGCUAACAGUUGGUUGCAGAUGUUCCAGAUACAUUUUAUCUCCAUUGUUCCAUUUGUGCCUUUACAUAGGACUUUUUAUUUCGUCUCUCAUUAUUUCCCCACUGAAAGAUAUUGUAGCGAACGGAGGCAAACUCUGGUCGCAGGAGUAAAAGGCAAACACCCAACGCAUCGCGCCAUUUAAACUGGGUUAACCCACUUGUUGGGUAUAAUAAUGUAUAUUAUAAACUGGUUGGUUUGAGCCCUGAAUGCUGAUUGGGCUGUUGGUGGGAGAUGAUCUGUGAAGAAUGGUCUCAACUUCAUGUAUGAAGCUCCACCUGGGGCAGACCAAGGAAGGAGAAUCAGAAUACAAGUUUGAGUGGCAAAAGACGUCCCCUGGAGGGAAGUCCGUCGAUGCACCCCUCCGAGUUAAUGGCAGAGAUGCGAAACAGUGGGUUUGCCCUGAAGAAAUGUGUCCUUGGAAGAAAUUCUACUGUUUGUGAUCCAUCGCAGGAGUACGUUGUCAAUGAAGAAGAGGAGGAUCCUGAGGUUGAAUUCCUGAAGUCGUUGACCACUAAACAGAAAGAGAAGCUCCUCAGGAAACUUGAUCGUCUACAAAAGAAGAGUGAAGGAAAUCAGAAGAAGGACCGUGAUAGUAGUGACAGCUCCAGUGAAAGUAGUAGCAGUGACUGACUGACAGCUCCAGUGAAAGUAGCAGCAGUGACUGACUGACAGCUCCAGUGAAAGUAGCAGCAGUGACUGACUGACAGCUCCAGUGAAAGUAGCAGCAGUGACUGACUGACAGCUCCAGUGAAAGUAGCAGCUGUGACUGACUGACAGCUCCAGUGAAAGUAGCAGCAGUGACUGACUGACAGCUUCAGUGAAAGUAGCAGCAGUGACUAAGAGUCAGAAGAGAAAGAAGAAAGGCAAGAGAAAGGACUCCUGUCGUGAUGACAACACUGAGAGUGAUGGAUGAGUCUAGAGUAAGACCAGGCCCAACCUCCAGACAGAAACAUCACAAAGAUGAUACCAGAGAGGAGAAAGAAACAGUAGAGAUGAGACACGACAGCAGGGAAAGGCAGAGAACCAGCAGCAGCUCCCAGCCUGACCCAGACAGAAGCAGAAGGAGAGGGAUAUAAAGACAAGGUUCCUAGAUGGAGGGAGGGAGAGAGGGGGGAGGCAGAGGGAGGAGCAGGAGCAGAGGGAGGGAGAAUGAGAAAAGAGCCAGAGGGAGAGCUGAGAGAAAGCACUGAACUGUGAGAGUGGACAAUCUUACAAAGUGGGCCAGUGAUACCAUUUUAUUUUACUGAUGUAAACAUUUUUGACACGUUUUGACGAUUUUAUGAUGCUAUUGUUAAUAUGUACAUUUUUCUUGGUGGGCCCACUUAUUAAACAAACACAUAGAAACCAAGUUUUAGUAACACCAUGUUUUGGUGUUGCAUGCUAGUUGGCUGCUACGGUCAAAUGAGUGCAGGGGUGUAUUCAUUAUGCCGAUUAUGUUGCAAAAUGUUGAGCAGAAGCAAACUGAAUGAAACCGGGAGGGGCCUACCUGAAUUUGACCAAUAGAAACUGUUCAAAAUGUUCCAUUUUGCUACUGUUAGGACUAGUGAUUACACCCCUGCUCCUCAAAUAGUUAUUAUUUUCAUCCACUAGAGGGCAGCAGUAGACCUAAAAUAACUUGAACCACAGAAAUAUUUUUCAUUUGUCAGAUUAUUGAACAAAUGCAUGUCUUGCAUGCACUUUUAUUGAUGGUUGUCACUUUAGUCCAGAAAACCCUCUUCAGAAUUCUAAUAAAAAAUAUUAUUUGCAACUCGAAUUUUAAAAAUAGUGAACUGUG